rnacentral:tRNA from 1 species
UGGCCCGUGGUGUAAUUGGCAACACGGUGGAUUCUGGCUCCAUUGUUCUAGGUUCAAGUCCUAGCGGGCCAG